rnacentral:rRNA from 1 species
UACGUAGGGGGCAAGCGUUGUCCGGAAUCAUUGGGCGUAAAGCGCGUGUAGGCGGUUCAGUAAGUCUGCUGUGAAAGUCCAGGGCUCAACCCUGGGAUGCCGGUGGAUACUGCUGGACUAGAGUGCGGAAGAGGCGAGUGGAAUUCCUGGUGUAGCGGUGAAAUGCGCAGAUAUCGGGAGGAACACCAGUAGCGAAGGCGGCUCGCUGGGCCAUUCCUGACGCUGAGGCGCGAAAGCUAGGGGAGCGAACAGG